AAGUUCAGAACAGCUGUAGUGCUUUAGUCGUGGCCUGAUCCCUUAAAACUGUUCAAAUCCAAAGCUACAGAGAGAAACCUUGUCUCAAAAAAAAAAAAUCCAAAGAAAAAAACCCUGAAAAAAAGUGUUCAAAUCACCAAGACAUCAAAAGGUUUUGACUGUAGAGGAGUUUAAGAUCACCCUAACCUAAAUGCUCCUACUCCACUUGGUGCUCUCUUUGGGAAGGCUACCUGAAGGAAAAUGCUGCCCUGUAAGUCCUGUUGAUCUCCUUCCUAUAAGGAGAAUUUACAGAAGUGAAAGCUGAGCUUUCUGGAACUUCAGGAACAUCAGGUAACCUAAUUCAGGACAUAGUAAAAGAGGGUUCAGGAUUUAAGCACAAGUCUAAUGAAUUUAAAGUAAGUGUUUUAUACCAUCCCUUGUAUAUUCUCUCUCUCUCUCUCUCUCUCUCUCUCUCUCUCUCUCUCUCUCUCUCUCUCUCUCUCUCUCUCUGUUUACUUGAGUCUUUUAAUUUUUUUGUUAAAAUAAACUUGUAUCAUUUUUUUCCUCUUUCCUUCCUCCAACUCCUCCUAUCUCCUUUCCCACACAGCCCUCCUAUGA